GACAAAUUUGAUGAAAAGCGGGAGAGCUGGGUCCAUACCCACCAAAAAAAUCGGACCACCUCCCACAUCGUGGAUGAAGCUUCUAUGCUGCUUGAAAAAUUGCAGGCCCUGGGUGUAAGGGCUGUAAUAGUUUUGUCCAAGCCCGGAAGAAAAGAGAAUGCCUGGGUUUCAGAGGUUUUGGCACCCCGUUGUCAACUGACAGACACUUCUAAAAAGUGUCUUGAAAGAAUAAAGACACUCUAUGAACUUGUUAUUCAAGGCUGGACCCCACAAGUUGCUGCAGGACAUUCAUCAUCCCCAGUUGAACCCCAAACUACACCUCAACUGGCUCCACCAACAACACAGGUUGCUGUUGCCCAGCCUCAUCCCCCUGCAGCUCCACCUACACCUCAACUGGCUCCACCAACAACACAGGUUGCUGUUGCCCAGCCUCAUCCCCCUGCAGCUCCACCUACACCCCCAAAGUCUUUGAUUUUAUCAGUAGCCUCCACUGGAGCCUCCCAAGUUUGUCAAGAAAAAGGUAAGCAUAAGUAAGGGAUAAUGUAGAGUGAGGCAUUAUCCUGCCUAUUACAUGGUUACUUAACUAAAUAAAUAAUAAAUAAAUAAUUUGACACCAAAUAUUAAUUUAAAAACGAUAGUAUUGCUACCGAUAAAGAAAAAGGUCUGUUCCGUCUCUAUGGUUGGUAUCCUGCGUCCAUAGCAACGUAAACUGUAGCUGUUUAAUAUAACCCUCCGUCAGUCACUCAACACCACAGUAUCUCCUCCUCCAUGCUUGGCAUCAGUGUGUGUGCCUACCAGAUAGCCAGCUGUUUGCAGCACAUGCAUUUCUGGCAAAAGCCAGGGUCCAACAUGCAUUUAAUCCCCCAAUUACAGGCUGUGGUAGUAGCUUUCUAUUUUACCUCCAAAAUAAGUCAGGCUGUAAUGGGGUGAUGCCCUGCUAUCGCUAGCUAGGUGGAGAAAACUCCUUCAUCCAGCUGCUGUUUUAAUCAGUGCGGGU